AGAGUUUGAUCAUGGCUCAGAAUCGACGCUGGCGGCGUGCCUAACACAUGCAAGUCGAACGCGAUAGCCCCGCAAGGGGUAAGUAGAGUGGCAAACGGGUGAGUAACACGUGGGUGACCUACCUUCGAGUGGGGGAUAACGUCCCGAAAGGGACGCUAAUACCGCAUGACAUCCUGCUUUUGGAAAAGCGGAGAUCAAAGCCGGGGAUCGCAAGACCUGGCGCUUGACGAGGGGCCCGCGCCUGAUUAGCUAGUUGGUGGGGUAACGGCCUACCAAGGCAACGAUCAGUAUCCGGCCUGAGAGGGCGGACGGACACACUGGGACUGAGACACGGCCCAGACUCCUACGGGAGGCAGCAGUGGGGAAUUGUUCGCAAUGGGCGCAAGCCUGACGACGCAACGCCGCGUGGAGGACGAAGAUCUUCGGGUCGUAAACUCCUGUCGAGCGGGAAGAACGCUUCCCGGGUGAAUAAUCCGGGGAAUUGACGGUACCGCUAAAGGAAGCCCCGGCUAACUCCGUGCCAGCCGCCGCGGUAAUAC
rnacentral:rRNA from 1 species